rnacentral:rRNA from 1 species
GAAUUCGCCCUUGGGGAAUCUUCCGCAAUGGGCGAAAGCCUGACGGAGCAAGACCGCGUGGGGGAGGAAGGCUCUAGGGUUGUAAACCCCUUUUCUUUGGGAAGAACAAAAUGACGGUACCAAAGGAAUCAGCCUCGGCUAACUCCGUGCCAGCAGCCGCGGUAAUACGGAGGAGGCAAGCGUUAUCCGGAAUGAUUGGCGUAAAGCGUCCGCAGGUGGCCAUGUAAGUCUGCUGUCAAAACCCAGGGCUCAACUCUGGUCAGGCAGUGGAAACUACAAAGCUAGAGUCUGGUAGGGGCAAAGGGAAUUCCCGGCGUAGCGGUGAAAUGCGUAGAUUUCGGGAAGAACAUCGGUGGCGAAAGCGCUUUGCUAGACCAGAACUGACACUCAGGGACGAAAGCUAGGGGAGCGAAAGGGAUUAGAUACCCCUGUAGUCAAGGGCGAAUUC